rnacentral:rRNA from 1 species
AUACGUAUGGGGCAAGCGUUAUCCGGAUUCAUUGGGCGUAAAGAGCGCGUAGGCGGAUUGUUAAGUCAGAUGUGAAAACCGGGGGCCCAACCCGCGGCCUGCAUCUGAAACUGGCAGUCUUGAGUCUGGUAGAGGAAAGUGGAAUUCCUAGUGUAGCGGUGAAAUGCGCAGAUAUUAGGAGGAACACCAGUGGCGAAGGCGGCUUUCUGGGCCACGACGGACGCUGAGGCGCGAAAGCUAGGGGAGC